GAGUUUGAUUCUGGCUCAGAUUGAACGCUGGCGGCAUGCCUUACACAUGCAAGUCGAACGGCAGCACGGGAGCAAUCCUGGUGGCGAGUGGCGAACGGGUGAGUAAUGUAUCGGAACGUGCCCAGUCGUGGGGGAUAACGCAGCGAAAGCUGUGCUAAUACCGCAUACGAUCUAUGGAUGAAAGCGGGGGAUCGCAAGACCUCGCGCGAAUGGAGCGGCCGAUAUCAGAUUAGCUAGUUGGUGGGGUAAAGGCUCACCAAGGCGACGAUCUGUAGCUGGUCUGAGAGGACGACCAGCCACACUGGAACUGAGACACGGUCCAGACUCCUACGGGAGGCAGCAGUGGGGAAUUUUGGACAAUGGGCGCAAGCCUGAUCCAGCAAUGCCGCGUGCAGGAUGAAGGCCUUCGGGUUGUAAACUGCUUUUGUACGGAGCGAAAAGGCUUUCUCUAAUACAGGGGGCUCAUGACGGUACCGUAAGAAUAAGCACCGGCUAACUACGUGCCAGCAGCCGCGGUAAUACGUAGGGUGCGAGCGUUAAUCGGAAUUACUGGGCGUAAAGCGUGCGCAGGCGGUUAUGUAAGACAGAUGUGAAAUCCC
rnacentral:rRNA from 1 species